AGAGGGUAAUUUUUCCACUGACUGAGAACAGAUCAGAUUUAAUUCAUGAUCACAUUUCGUGAAUUUGAUUGUAUAUGUAUUCGGAUUAUUUUGCGAAUAUUUGUGCACACUUUGGGAAACAAAUCACGACGGAAAGAGGGUAAUUUUGCAAGUGACUGAGAACGAAUCAGAUUUAAUGCAUGGAUCACAUUUCGUGAGCAAGUGUAAUAAAAAAAGAUCCCAGUAAUGUGUGAAGAAUGGCAAGGUUUGCGUAAAUCGUGACGUUAUCAAAUAUUAUAUUUCAAAAAGAGGAGUACUUCAUUCAACUUCAAAAAUUGCACGGUUCAUCACGAGGUUAUCAAAGGAAAAGUAAAAAUAUAAUUGUUAGAAGUUUAACGCCGCUUUUCACAAAUUUAAUUAUUCAAUAGUCUAAUUACUUAAAUCAGAUAAUUUAUUCAAAAUCAAAAUGGCAUUAUGAAAAUACAAAAUUAGGGAGAAACUGGAUUUCCAGAUUUACGUUAUCACGAGUUUACUAAACUUUUAUCAUUAAAUUUUUGUUGUACUGAAUUUUGUAUUUGAUUUAUUAUGAAAAAUAAUUUCAAAAAGUAAUUUGUUUUAUGAAGGUUUAACGCCGUUUGUGAUAAUUUUGACAGGGACAUGAAAGUUUUUGUAAGUCUAGAUAUUUUUGUAUGUGACUUGUAAAAAUGGUUUUUCCGUAUUGUGUAAAUGUUUGCAGAAAAAGUGCUUUCAACUUGGAAAAUUGCAGGGUUUACGGUACAUAUUUACCUCGAAGAUGCUAAUAAGGAACAAAUUGAAAAGCCAGAUUAUAUAAACCAAAUAGAGCGUGGCGAAACUUACAAUUUUUAUUUAUUUAUUUACAUACUUUACUAAAUAUUGUAAGUAAUUAACUAAGAAUUUAAUGGUCACACGGUAGCGAUAUAUGUUUCGCAAAGUUUAUGCAAAGAUUCUGAUAGCGGAUUUUAUCAAAUAUUUAUUUACAUAUUUUUCGUAAUUUAUCAAACAAUUUUUAUUUAUAUUUUACUAAAUAUUUUAAUUAACUAAUUAAUUAAAUAACAACUUAAUAAUGGUCAUACGAUAGCGGCAUAUUUUUCACGAAGUUUUUGAGAAGAUUCGGAUUCAUACAUACAUACACACAUUCAUACAUUCAUUCAUCAUGAUUCAUACAUAGUAUCCAUAAUUUUGUCAACUUUUAGUUUAUGCCAACUUUGUAAACUAG